CCUACGGGAGGCAGCAGUGGGGAAUAUUGCGCAAUGGGGGAAACCCUGACGCAGCAACGCCGCGUGGGUGAUGAAGGUCUUCGGAUUGUAAAGCCCUGUUUUCUGGGACGAUAAUGACGGUACCAGAGGAGGAAGCCACGGCUAACUACGUGCCAGCAGCCGCGGUAAU
rnacentral:rRNA from 2 species